rnacentral:rRNA from 1 species
CUACGGGGCGCACCAGUGAGGAAUAUUGCACAAUGGGGGCAACCCUGAUGCAGCAACGCCGCGUGGAGGAUGACGCAUUUCGGUGUGUAAACUCCUUUUAUCAGAGAAGAACCAUGACGGUAUCUGAUGAAUAAGCUCCGGCUAACUCCGUGCCAGCAGCCGCGGUAAUACGGAGGGAGCAAGCGUUAUUCGGAAUCACUGGGCGUAAAGGACGCGUAGGCCGGUCUGUAAGUCAGGUGUGAAAUGCAAUGGCUCAACCAUUGAACUGCACUUGAAACUGCGGACCUAGAGUAUGGAAGGGGCAGAUGGAAUUAGUGGUGUAGGGGUAAAAUCCGUAGAUAUCACUAGGAAUACCGAAAGCGAAGGCGAUCUGCUGGGACAUAACUGACGCUGAGGCGUGAAAGCGUGGGGAGCAAACAGGAUUAGAUACCCGAGUAGUC